ACGAACGCUGGCGGCGUGCUUAACACAUGCAAGUCGCACGGUAAGGCUCCAGCUUGCUGGGGUACACGAGUGGCGAACGGGUGAGUAACACGUGGGUGACCUGCCCUGCACUUCGGGAUAAGCCUGGGAAACUGGGUCUAAUACCGGAUAGGACCAUGGUGUGGAUACUGUGGUGGAAAGUUUUUUCGGUGUGGGAUGGGCCCGCGGCCUAUCAGCUUGUUGGUGGGGUAAUGGCCUACCAAGGCGGCGACGGGUAGCCGGCCUGAGAGGGUGGACGGCCACAUUGGGACUGAGACACGGCCCAGACUCCUACGGGAGGCAGCAGUGGGGAAUAUUGCACAAUGGGCGGAAGCCUGAUGCAGCGACGCCGCGUGGGGGAUGACGGCCUUCGGGUUGUAAACUCCUUUCACCAUCGACGAAGGGUUUCUGACGGUAGAUGGAGAAGAAGCACCGGCUAACUACGUG
rnacentral:rRNA from 1 species